GGUAGAGUGGCCCGAUAGUUAGGUGGCAGGCUGUAGUCCUGCAAACAUAGGUUAAAGCCCUGUUUCUAUCA
rnacentral:tRNA from 1 species